GUCCUUUUGAAAAUAAUUUAAGGUCUAAUCUGCCCAGUGAUAAAUUUAACGGCCGCAGUAUUUUGACUGUGCUAAGGUAGCAUAAUCAUUAGUUUUUUAAUUAAAAGCUUGUAUGAAUGAUUGAAUGAAAAAAAUUCUGUCUCUAAAUUAUUUUAAUUGAAUUUUAUUUUUAAGUUAAAAAGCUUAAAUUUUAUUAAAAGACGAGAAGACCCUAUAGAGUUUUAUAUAAUUUUAAUUUUUAAAAUUUAGGGUAUUUUUAUUAAAAGUUAAAUUUAUAUUUAAUUGGGGUGAUUAAAAAAUUAAUUAAACUUUUUUUAAUAAAAUCAUUGAUUUAUGAAUAAUUGAUCCAUUAAUUAUGAUUAAAAGAAAAAAUUACCUUAGGGAUAACAGCGUAAUUUUUUUUAAGAGUUCUAAUCAAAAGAAAAGAUUGCGACCUCGAUGUUGGAUUAAAAUUAAUUCUUGGUGCAGAAGCUAAGAAUUUUAGGUCUGUUCGACCUUUAAAAUUU
rnacentral:rRNA from 1 species